UUNAACGCUGGCGGCAUGCCUUACACAUGCAAGUCGAACGGCAGCACGGGAGCAAUCCUGGUGGCGAGUGGCGAACGGGUGAGUAAUAUAUCGGAACGUGCCCAGUCGUGGGGGAUAACGUAGCGAAAGCUAGCUAAUACCGCAUACGACCCAAGGGUGAAAGUGGGGGGAUCGCAAGACCUCAUGCUCAUGGAGCGGCCGAUAUCUGAUUAGCUAGUUGGUGGGGUAAAGGCUCACCAAGGCAACGAUCAGUAGCUGGUCUGAGAGGACGACCAGCCACACUGGAACUGAGACACGGUCCAGACUCCUACGGGAGGCAGCAGUGGGGAAUUUUGGACAAUGGGCGCAAGCCUGAUCCAGCAAUGCCGCGUGCAGGAUGAAGGCCUUCGGGUUGUAAACUGCUUUUGUACGGAACGAAACGGUGAGCUCUAAUACAGUUUGCUAAUGACGGUACCGUAAGAAUAAGCACCGGCUAACUACGUG
rnacentral:rRNA from 1 species